rnacentral:rRNA from 1 species
UUGGCGGACGGGUGAGUAACGCGUGGGGAACCGUGCCCUGUACAGGGGGAGUAACACUUAGAAAUAGGUGCUAAUACCGCAUAAGCGCACAGUAUCGCAUGAUACAGUGUGAAAAACUCCGGUGGUACAGGAUGGACCCGCGUCUGAUUAGCUGGUUGGCGGGGUAACGGCCCACCAAGGCGACGAUCAGUAGCCGGCCUGAGAGGGUGAACGGCCACAUUGGGACUGAGACACGGCCCAAACUCCUACGGAAGGCAGCAG